UCAAGCGAACAAGGGCGCAGGGCGAAUGCCUUGGCACUGGGAGCCGAUGAAAGACGUGAUAAGCUGCGAUAAGCUUCGGGGAGCUGCAAAUAAGCAUUGAUCCGGAGAUUUCUGAAUGAGGAAACUCACCUGGGUUCAUACUCAGGUACGUUAUACUGAACUUAAAAAUAGGUAUAUCGAGGGAACCGCCUGAACUGAAACAUCUAAGUAGGGCGAGGAAGAGACAUCAAACGAGAUUCCGUAAGUAGUGGCGAGCGAACGCGGAAGAGGGCAAACCGGGAGUAGAAAUACUUCCGGGGUACGGACCGCAUUUAGGACUUGAGUUGUUAACCGAACGGCAUGGGAAGGCCGGUCAGAGAGUGUGAGAACCACGUAGGUGAAAACGGAGAGAGCUGCGCAGGAUCCAGAGUACGGCCAGACACGUGAAACCUGGUCGGAAUAUGGGGGGACCACCCUCCAACCCUAAAUACUACCCAGUGACCGAUAGCGUAUAGUACUGUGAAGGAAAGGUGAAAAGCACCCCGGGAGGGGAGUGAAAAAGAACCUGAAACCCUGUGCCUACAAGCACCUAGAGCACGUCAAUGUGUGAUAGGGUACUUUUUGUAGAACGGUCCGGCGAGCGAUUGUAUGCAGCAAGGUUAAGGACUUAAGGUCUGGAGCCGAAGCGAAAGCGAGUUUGAAAAGGGCGUUAAGUUGCAUACAAUGGGCCCGAAACCGGGUGACCUACCCAUGGUCAGGUUGAAGUGGAAGUAAAAUUCCAUGGAGGACCGAACCGACCUCCGUUGAAAAGGCGGCGGAUGAACUGUGGGUAGCGGAGAAAUUCCAAUCGAACCCGGAGAUAGCUGGUUCUCCCCGAAAUAGUUUUAGGACUAGCCUCAAGUUAGAUACCUGGAGGUAAAGCACUGAAUAGCCUAGCGGCCGAGAGGUUAGCGAAGCUUAUCAAACUCAGAAUGCCAGAGUAUUGAUGCUUGGGAGUCAGACAGUGUCAGAUAAAUGUCAUUGUCAAAAGGGAAACAGCCCAGAUCUACAGCUAAGGUCCCAAAGUCAGGUUAAGUGGAAAACGAUGUGAAGAUACGUAGACAACCAGGAUGUUGGCUCAGAAGCAGCCACACAUUCAAAGAGUGCGUAAUAGCUCACUGGUCGAGCGUCUUUGCGCGGAGAAUUUAACGGGGCUAAACCUGACACCGAAGCUUAGGCAAUACAGCAAUGUAUUGGGUAGGGGAGCGUUGUAUACGCGGUGAAACAGUAGCGCAAGCGGCUGUGGAGUGUAUAGAAGUGAGAAUGCCGGAAUGAGUAGCGCGAAUGCAGUGAGAAUCUGCAUGGCCGAAAGCCUCAGGUUUCUGGAGGAAGGUUCGUCCGCUCCAGGUUAGUCGGGAGCUAAGGUGAGGCCUAACGGCGUAGCCGAUGCACAGACGGUAGAGAUUCCGUCACCACCAAAAGAGUUAAACACAGGGACACAUUUGAAGUCUCGGAGCCGGGUGUUGGUUCCGGUAGCGAUCGAGGGAAAUUAGUACCGAAGUCCGGGAUGGAAGAUGGCGAGAAAAGCUGUGUGUAUUUCUGCGGUGCCCGUACCGCAAACCGACACAGGUAGGUAGGAAGAAGAUUCUAAGGCCAACGGGAGAAGGGUUGUUAAGGAACUCGGCAAAUUGACCCCGUAACUUCGGGAGAAGGGGUGCUCCAGAGAUGGAGCCGCAGAGAAUCGGCCCAAGCAACUGUUUACCAAAAACACAGGUUUGUGCUAAAUCGAAAGAUGACGUAUACGAGCUGACGCCUGCCCGGUGCUGGAAGGUUAAGAGGAGAUGUGCAAGCAUUGAAUCGAAGCCCCAGUGAACGGCGGCCGUAACUAUAACGGUCCUAAGGUAGCGAAAUUCCUUGUCAGGUAAG
rnacentral:rRNA from 1 species